AGAAUCAACGCUGGCGGCGUGCCUAACACAUGCAAGUCGAACGAGAAAGUGGUAGCAAUACCAUGAGUAAAGUGGCGCACGGGUGAGUAACACGUGACUAACCUACCCUUGAGUGGGGGAUAACUGAGGGAAACCUUAGCUAAUACCGCAUAAUACCCACGGGUCAAAGGAGCAAUUCGCUUCAGGAGGGGGUCGCGGCCGAUUAGUUAGUUGGCGGGGUAAUGGCCCACCAAGACAGUGAUCGGUAUCCGGCCUGAGAGGGCGCACGGACACACUGGAACUGAAACACGGUCCAGACUCCUACGGGAGGCAGCAGUGGGGAAUUUUGCGCAAUGGGGGAAACCCUGACGCAGCAACGCCGCGUGGAGGAUGAAGUCCUUCGGGACGUAAACUCCUUUCGAUCGGGACGAUUAUGACGGUACCGGAAGAAGAAGCCCGGCUAACUUCGCGCCAGCAGCCGC
rnacentral:rRNA from 1 species